rnacentral:rRNA from 1 species
GACGAACGCUGGCGGCGUGCUUAACACAUGCAAGUCGAACGGAAAGGCCCGGCUCUUGUGGGUUGCUCGAGAGGCGAACGGGUGAGUAACACGCGAGUAACCUGCCCCUGUCUGUGUGAUAACAUCAGGGAACAGGGGCUCAUACCGGAUAGGAUCUCUUGCUGCAUGGGGUUGGUUGGAAAGAUUCGGCGGUUGGGGAUGGACUCGCGGCUUAUCAGCUUGUUUGUGGGGUAGUUGAAUUCCCAGGCUUUGACGGGUAGCCUGCCUGGGAGGGUGACCGGCCACAUGAGGACUGCGAUACGCACCAGACUGCUACGGGCGGCAGCAGUGGAGAACCUUACACAAUGGGCGGAAGCCUGAUGCAGCGGCCCCGCGUGCGGAAUGCCGGCCUUCGGGUUAUAAACAGCUUUCGACUGUGCCGAGCCGUGAGUGACGGUACUGGGUAAAAAAGCACCGGCUAACUACGUG